rnacentral:rRNA from 1 species
GGACGAACGCUGGCGGCGUGCUUAACACAUGCAAGUCGAACGAGGUCCAUGGAGCUUGCUCCGGAAGAUCUAGUGGCGAACGGGUGCGUAACACGUGAGAAACCUGGCCCCAAACUUGGGAAUAACAGUCGGAAACGACUGCUAAUACCGAAUACCUUUGAAGCGUCGCAUGGCGCACCAAAGAAAGCUUUCGCGGUUUGGGAGGGUCUCGCGGCCUAUCAGCUAGUUGGUGA